rnacentral:rRNA from 1 species
UACAGAGGUCUCAAGCGUUGUUCGGAUUCAUUGGGCGUAAAGGGUGCGUAGGUGGGUUGGUAAGUCAGUGGUGAAAUCUCCGAGCUUAACUUGGAAACUGCCAUUGAUACUAUCAGUCUUGAAUAUUGUGGAGGUCAGCGGAAUAUGUCAUGUAGCGGUGAAAUGCUUAGAUAUGACAUAGAACACCAGUGGCGAAGGCGGCUCACUGGCCCGGUACUGACGCUGAGGUGCGAAAGCGUGGGGAGCAAACAGG